rnacentral:rRNA from 1 species
GACAGAGGGUGCAACCGUUGUUCGGAAUUACUGGGCGUAAAGCGCGUGUAGGCGGCUCGGCAAGUCGGGUGUGAAGGCCCUGGGCUUAACCUAGGAAGUGCACUCGAAACUGCCAAGCUUGAGUUCUGGAGAGGAAGGCGGAAUUCUCGGUGUAGAGGUGAAAUUCGUAGAUAUCGAGAGGAACACCGGUGGCGAAGGCGGCCUUCUGGACAGCAACUGACGCUGAGACGCGAAAGCGUGGGGAGCAAACAGG